UACGAAGGGUGCAAGCGUUACUCGGAAUUACUGGGCGUAAAGCGUGCGUAGGCGGUUUGUUAAGUCCGUUGUGAAAGCCCUGGGCUCAACCUGGGAAUUGCAGUGGAUACUGGCGAGCUAGAGUGCGGUAGAGGAUGGUGGAAUUCCCGGUGUAGCGGUGAAAUGCGUAGAGAUCGGGAGGAACACCCGUGGCGAAGGCGGCCAUCUGGACCAGCACUGACGCUGAGGCACGAAAAGCGUGGGGAGCAAACAGG
rnacentral:rRNA from 1 species